UCCUAUCUGCAGGCUGGUUGACGGAAUACUCCAGCUAGGAAUAAUGGAAUAAGACUCCGGUUCUAUUUUGUUGGUUUUCGGAACUGGGGCCAUGAUUAAGAAGGAUGGCUGGGGGC